UGCUCAGCAAAGAGCCCCAUGGGGAGCUCGGUCUCAGGACCCUGGGAUCACGACCUGAGCUGAAAUCAAGAGUUGGGCACUCAACCAUCUGAGCCACCCAGGCACCUUCAUCUUUCCUUUUAAAGCAACUCUAAGCAUACAGUUGGAUAAGAUGUAUACAUCCCUGUAACCACCACCCCAAUUAAGAUGUACGAUAUUUCCAUCAUUCCAGAGAGUUCUCUCAUGCCACUGUACAGUCAAUCCCCAUGUGCCUGCCCCAGGCUACCAUCUCAUUUCUAUCACUGGAAAUUCCUUUUAUCACUAAUUCCGUUGCCUAGUUUGCAGUUGGGGUAUUGACUAAGUAAGCCUCCUUUCACUGCCUGGCUGACUUGAAAUAUCUGAGUGUUCCCAUGUGGAGGAGAGAGGACCCUUGUUACUGUUUCUGAGACCAAUGGCAGGAAAGAGUGAAUCUGGCUUGUGGAAACCAGAGUUCUUGAAGGCAGGAGCUGUUCCUUAUUUUGUGUUUCUGCAAUACCAGAACAGUACCUGGAACAUAGGAAGCUCUUCGUAAAUGUACUUAGUAAAUGUAUCUGUCCAAUAAUGGAAUGAUUAUCCAUUGGAGAAGCUGUUCUGUUCCUUCCUGGAUAAAAAUGUGCUGGUAGUGGUGGUGCCUAUCACUAAUGAACACAAGUGAGUUUGAGUUUCUGACCUUGAGGGAUAGACACAGGGCAAGAGCUGUGUCCAGUCGUCUUGGCUCGGCCCCAGGGGCACAGUGCAGUGGGAGAGAUGGUGGGUUCUAAUAUGAUGUGGUAGGUGGUAGGUAGGUAGCUGAAUGCUGUGGAAACAGAGGGGAGCGGCAUAGAAUCCGACUGGGAGAUUUGGGGAAGCUUGUCUGGAGGGCACGUGUCAUGAGGGAUGGUGAGAAGUAGCCUGUGGAAAGGGAUUUUGGUGCAGGAACCAGCCUAAGGCAUGGCGACUUGAGAGACCACGGUCAUGUGACAUAAUUGCUCUGAGUGGGAAAAUGGAACAUAUGUGGCCCCUGCAGUUGUUGUCAUCCUAAGAUUCUGUAAGUAGCGGGGUUUAGCUGAAUGGCCACAAGUGCCCCAAAAUACCCACGCACAUUUGAGGUUUGGGUCAGAAAAUGCUCUGAAAAUGGCCAUUUUCUGCAACAAGGUUUUGCAUCCUGGGAACAGAAAUGGAAAUGAACGGAUGGUCAGGGUGAAACGUUGCUGGACCCGCAGACACGGAGAAAGGCAGAGUGGCAAGGGAGUCCCCGGUGUCAGCAAGAGCCAUGGAAAAUGCCAAGUGUUGCACCAUUGAGCACAACUGGCAUUCACACGUGGCUGGCAGGAGUGUUACGUUGGUUCAAUCACUUUGGAGAAAACUGGCAGGAUCAACUAACUAGCGGAAGGUCUAGCCUAUACCCAGGCCGUUCCGCUGAUAUGUUUAUACCCAACAGAAAUAUGCUCACCAACAGGCUUGGCCUGGAGCUCUCCAGAUGCCCGCGAAUACUCGAAUGGAUACCCGUGUGGUGGGUUCUGCCUCCCACAUGUUCACAUCCUGUGAAUGUGUUGCAUUACAUAGCAAAGGGGGAUUAGGCAGCAAAUGGGAUUAACAGGUGAACCAGCUGACGUUAAAGAGAUUAUCCUGGAUUAUCAGGGUGGGCCAAAUGUAUCACAAAUUUCCUUAAAUGAGGAAGAGGGGGACAGAAGGGCCAGAGACGGUGGUAUGAGAAAGACUCCACCAGUCUAUACUGGCUUUGGAGACGGAAGGAGCCAUGAGUCCAGGAAUGCGGGCGGCUGCUGGAAGCCGAGAAGCAAGAAUGAGAAACUAACACGUGGAAUAUUCAUAUGGUGGAAUACUACACAGCAAUGAGGACGGAGGAUUUGCAAUUACACGUAACAAUAUGGCUGAGAACAUGCUGUAUGAUUUAAUUUAUCUCUGAAAGGAAGGAAGCCAACAUCUGAGCACCCACUGCCUCUCAGGAAUUUUAUAUGCCGUAUCACAUUUGAUCAUUACAGUCCGUGAUGUAGGUAUCAUUAAUCUGUUUUAAGAAUGAGGAGGGGCACCUGGGUGGCUCAGUUAGUUGAGUGCCUGGCUUCAGCUCAGGUCAUGAUCUCACCGCUCGUGAGUUCAAGCCCCGCGUC